UGGGGAAUAUUGGACAAUGGGCGCAAGCCUGAUCCAGCCAUACCGCGUGGGUGAAGAAGGCCUUCGGGUUGUAAAGCCCUUUUGUUGGGAAAGAAAUCCAGCUGGUUAAUACCCGGUUGGGAUGACGGUACCCAAAGAAUAAGCACCGGCUAACUUCGUGCCAGCAGCCGCGGUAAUACGAAGGGUGCAAGCGUUACUCGGAAUUACUGGGCGUAAAGCGUGCGUAGGUGGUCGUUUAAGUCUGUUGUGAAAGCCCUGGGCUCAACCUGGGAACUGCAGUGGAAACUGGACGACUAGAGUGUGGUAGAGGGUAGCGGAAUUCCUGGUGUAGCAGUGAAAUGCGUAGAGAUCAGGAGGAACAUCCAUGGCGAAGGCAGCUACCUGGACCAACACUGACACUGAGGCACGAAAGCGUGGGGAGCAAACAGGAUUAGAUACCCUGGUAGUCCACGCCCUAAACGAUGCGAACUGGAUGUUGGGUGCAAUUUUGGCACGCAGUAUCGAAGCUAACGCGUUAAGUCGCCGCCUGGGGAGUACGGUCGCAAGACUG
rnacentral:rRNA from 1 species